rnacentral:lncRNA from 1 species
AGCUAAUCUAUUAGUUGAAUGCUCCUGAAGCUUUCAUCAAAGCAACCAGAGACUCUAAGGAAAAAAUAUAUAAACCAGUAUAAACUCAUACUUAUCUGAAAACUGUGACUUUAAACUUGCAGGCAGUGGCUUCCUACAUCAGAGGAUCUUUAGGGAACCACCAGCAGAAAGUUCCUCCCUGUGGCCUGACACGUUUUGCCCAGGACAUUCAGGGGGUGAAUGGAAUGAUAGCAGGUGGUGGGAGGGGUUCAGCCCAGCAGAACAUCACCAGGACAGAUCCAGAGGGGUGUGUGCCAACCCCUCCAGAAGGCCUCAUUGCUGCUGCCCCACAGCUCCCAGUCCAGAGGGUGGGGGUCUGAAGACAUAAGCAGGAUGUGUCGCCUCCACGUAAUUACUCUGCUGGGAGUGACUCCAGGGGUGCCCUCAGUCCCAUUCGGGUGAUGGCAUUUAAGAGAGGAAGUAGGGGAACCCUAGUCAAUAUUCACUUGAUCUCUGCUUGUGUGUACACUGGCAAGGAGGAAUGUGUGGAUUUCCAGCAGCAGGAAACAAACCGUUUUCAUAGCUGAGUGUGUGGGGGUGGAGUGUUUCUAAAGCCUAGUUAUCUCAUGUGUCUGUCUUCUGAGGCCCUAACUGAGAUUUUAUGCCAAACUUUCAAGGUACUAAUGCCUAAGAAGUAACGGGAGGCAAGGAGACAUCGGCUCUCAGUAGUGAAGGGAACAUCCUGUCAUGCAACAACCAAGGGACAUAGGCCAGAAUAACGCGUUUCCAGUUAACACAUGGGAAAAUCAUUGCAAAUCCGUGACAGCCUUGGCACCUACUCUUGAAGAGGUGGGUGUCUGAGACUCAUGGAACCCUGGAGGCAGCCAACACCUCAGGCAUCACAGUGCCUUCAUUUUCUAGUGAGCUGAGGAUCAGUGUCGAGACUCUGACCCGGCCUCCAGACUCAGAUUCCAGGGCUUCUUCCCCUCUGCUGUGCUGCUGGAAUCCACAGCCCCAGCUGGUGCCCCAGCCAUCAGAAUAUCUGCCCUUUUCUCCAGGAGAGAGACUGAACUCCAUGCAAACAUUAGCCAAACACCAGCCAUGUCCUGGAAGGCAUGCUGAGAGCUGGCAGAGAGGGGAAGGUGAGAGAUGGAAGCGCCUGGCCCCGGGUAGAUGUAGCAGGAGCACAGGCAGCAGGGCCACGGAUGUACCCAAUCUGGGGACCAUCGCCGGGAGCCCUGGACUUCAUGAACAGGAGGACUCUGGUCCUGCUUCCUAGGACGACCUUAAAGAAACAUCAGCCUGAAGACUUUGGGACCAUCCCAGGCCCAGCCAGGAGUUGAGACAUGAGGACUUUCUGGGCACAAAAGUUAAAAAUUGAACUUGCACCAUCGCCUGAGUCAGCUUUGCUGUGUGCCCUUCUAUCUGGUGCACUUAUGUUGCACAACUCCAGGGAGCAGCAUUUCCAUAGAACACAGUGUCAAUCCCAUCACUUUCAUUCUUUCUCUUUAACCAGAAAG